UACGUAGGGUGCGAGCGUUGUCCGGAAUUAUUGGGCGUAAAGAGCUCGUAGGCGGUGUGUCACGUCGGCCGUGAAAACCUGGGGCUUAACUCUGGCGUGCGGUCGAUACGGGCAUCACUAGAGUUCGGCAGGGGAGACUGGAAUUCCUGGUGUAGCGGUGAAAUGCGCAGAUAUCAGGAGGAACACCGGUGGCGAAGGCGGGAUCUCUG
rnacentral:rRNA from 1 species